UAUCCCCCAAACUAAGGGGGGAUGAGAACCACUGACCGGGGUUCGACAACUGGCGCAGCCAGUUGGACAGACGACGAGCCUGCGAGGAGACUGCCCGAAGGGCGAGCGCAGCGAAUUAAUCCCCCCCCUCACCGCCA
rnacentral:sRNA from 2 species